rnacentral:rRNA from 1 species
AUUGAACGCUGGCGGCAGGCCUAACACAUGCAAGUCGAACGGUAACAGGAAGCAGCUUGCUGCUUCGCUGACGAGUGGCGGACGGGUGAGUAAUGUCUGGGAAACUGCCUGAUGGAGGGGGAUAACUACUGGAAACGGUAGCUAAUACCGCAUAAUGUCGCAAGACCAAAGAGGGGGACCUUCGGGCCUCUUGCCAUCGGAUGUGCCAAGUUGGGAUUAGCUAGUAGGUGGGGUAACGGCUCACCUAGGGGACGAUCCCUAGGUGGUCUGAGAGGAUGACCAGCCACAAUGGAACUGAGACACGGUCCAGACUCCUACGGGAGGCAGCAGUGGGGAAUAUUGCACAAUGGGCGCAAGCCUGAUGCAGCCAUGCCGCGUGUAUGAAGAAGGCCUUCGGGUUGUAAAGUACUUUCAGCGGGGAGGAAGGCGAUAAGGUUAAUAACCUUGUCGAUUGACGUUAUCCGCAGAAGAAGCACCGGCUAACUCCGUGCCAGCCGCCGCCGUAA